rnacentral:lncRNA from 1 species
CUAACAUAUCCCGUUUAUUUUCUUUCUAAAAAGUUCCAGUUAGAAAGCUUACCUUUGGACCAAUAGGCAUCCCAUCACGUUCAUCUAAAAAAUGUAAAAAGAGCGAGCGCCAUGUGGUAAGAUAAAUUUGAUAAAUUUACAAUUACAAAAGAACAAGGUCCAUAUACUUACGUGAUUCUGCAAUUUCCUUAUCAUUUUCAUAACUUAUGGGUGUACCAGGUUUCCUAGGUGAAUUGCUAGCAUAAGUACUGGUGUAAUAAUUUAUGCCUAAAAAAUCAUAUGAUCC